GAUGAACGCUGGCGGCGUGCCUAAUACAUGCAAGUCGAGCGAACGGACGAGAAGCUUGCUUCUCUGAUGUUAGCGGCGGACGGGUGAGUAACACGUGGAUAACCUACCUAUAAGACUGGGAUAACUUCGGGAAACCGGAGCUAAUACCGGAUAAUAUUUUGAACCGCAUGGUUCAAAAGUGAAAGACGGUCUUGCUGUCACUUAUAGAUGGAUCCGCGCUGCAUUAGCUAGUUGGUAAGGUAACGGCUUACCAAGGCAACGAUGCAUAGCCGACCUGAGAGGGUGAUCGGCCACACUGGAACUGAGACACGGUCCAGACUCCUACGGGAGGCAGCAGUAGGGAAUCUUCCGCAAUGGGAGAAAGCCUGACGGAGCAACGCCGCGUGAGUGAUGAAGGACUUCGGAUCGUAAAACUCUGUUAUUAGGGAAGAACAUAUGUGUAAGUAACUGUGCACAUCUUGACGGUACCUAAUCAGAAAGCCACGGCUAACUACGUG
rnacentral:rRNA from 1 species